GACGAACGCUGGCGGCGUGCUUAACACAUGCAAGUCGAACGGAAAGGCCCUGCUUGCAGGGUACUCGAGUGGCGAACGGGUGAGUAACACGUGGGUGAUCUGCCCUGCACUUCGGGAUAAGCCUGGGAAACUGGGUCUAAUACCGGAUAGGAGCCAUUUUGAGUGUGAUGGUUGGAAAGUUUUUUCGGUGUAGGAUGAGCUCGCGGCCUAUCAGCUUGUUGGUGGGGUAAUGGCCUACCAAGGCGGCGACGGGUAGCCGGCCUGAGAGGGUGGACGGCCACAUUGGGACUGAGAUACGGCCCAGACUCCUACGGGAGGCAGCAGUGGGGAAUAUUGCACAAUGGGCGCAAGCCUGAUGCAGCGACGCCGCGUGGGGGAUGACGGCCUUCGGGUUGUAAACUCCUUUCGCUAGGGACGAAGCUUUUGUGACGGUACCUAGAGAAGAAGCACCGGCUAACUACGUG
rnacentral:rRNA from 1 species